rnacentral:rRNA from 1 species
AGAGUUUGAUCCUGGCUCAGGACGAACGCUGGCGGCGUGCCUAACACAUGCAAGUCGAGCGAAUGAAGUUCCUUCGGGAACGGAUUUAGCGGCGGACGGGUGAGUAACACGUGGGCAACCUGCCUCAUAGAGGGGAAUAGCCUUCCGAAAGGGAGAUUAAUACCGCAUAAGAUUGUAGUACUGCAUGGUACAGCAAUUAAAGGAGCAAUCCGCUGUGAGAUGGGCCCGCGGCGCAUUAGCUAGUUGGUGAGGUAACGGCUCACCAAGGCGAUGAUGCAUAGCCGACCUGAGAGGGUGAUCGGCCACAUUGGGACUGAGACACGGCCCAAACUCCUACGGGAGGCAGCAGUAGGGAAUCUUCCGCAAUGGACGCAAGUCUGACGGAGCAACGCCGCGUGUGUGAAGAAGGUCUUCGGAUCGUAAAGCACUGUUAUUAGAGAAGAACAACCGGUAGAGUAACUGUUACCGGCUUGACGGUAUCUAACCAGAAAGCCACGGCUAACUACGUGCCAGCAGCCGCGGUAAUACGUAGGUGGCAAGCGUUGUCCGGAUUUAUUGGGCGUAAAGGGAGCGCAGGCGGUGACUUAAGUCUGAUGUGAAAGCCCACGGCUCAACCGUGGAAGGUCAUUGGAAACUGGGUCACUUGAGUGCAGAAGAGGAAAGUGGAAUUCCAUGUGUAGCGGUGAAAUGCGUAGAUAUAUGGAGGAACACCAGUGGCGAAGGCGACUUUCUGGUCUGUAACUGACGCUGAGGCUCGAAAGCGUGGGGAGCAAACAGGAUUAGAUACCCUGGUAGUCCACGCCGUAAACGAUGAGUGCUAAGUGUUGGAGGGUUUCCACCCUUCAGUGCUGGAGUAACGCAAUAA